rnacentral:rRNA from 1 species
CAUGGCUCAGAACGAACGCUGGCGGCAGGCCUAACACAUGCAAGUCGAGCGAGACCUUCGGGUCUAGCGGCGGACGGGUUAGUAACGCGUGGGAACGUACCCUUUUCUACGGAAUAGCCUUUGGAAACGAAGAGUAAUACCGUAUACGCCCUUCGGGGGAAAGAUUUAUCGGAGAAGGAUCGGCCCGCGUUAGAUUAGAUAGUUGGUGGGGUAAUGGCCUACCAAGUCUACGAUCUAUAGCUGGUUUUAGAGGAUGAUCAGCAACACUGGGACUGAGACACGGCCCAGACUCCUACGGGAGGCAGCAGUGGGGAAUCUUAGACAAUGGGCGCAAGCCUGAUCUAGCCAUGCCGCGUGAGUGAAGAAGGCCUUAGGGUCGUAAAGCUCUUUCGCCAGGGAUGAUAAUGACAGUACCUGGUAAAGAAACCCCGGCUAACUCCGUGCCAGCAGCCGCGGUAAUACGGAGGGGGUUAGCGUUGUUCGGAAUUACUGGGCGUAAAGCGCACGUAGGCGGAUUAGAAAGUUAGAGGUGAAAUCCCAGGGCUCAACCCUGGAACUGCCUUUAAAACUCCUAGUCUUGAGUUCGAGAGAGGUGAGUGGAAUUCCAAGUGUAGAGGUGAAAUUCGUAGAUAUUUGGAGGAACACCAGUG